CUGAUCUCCUAGGCUAAUAUGAGCCGAUCCUGCUGGCAACGACUUUGACAGAGUCAGAAUGGCAUCAAAUGAUACGAUUGAGAACGACUGUUCUAAAGCUCUUUCACAGCAGGGAUUGUUUGAUCUAGGAUGUCUUGCACCAGCAUUGGCCCUUAUUCUGGUUCUUGCUUCUCUGAAACAGCGCACCAAAUUUAAACUGGAGUGGUUCGAUGGACGUCCUGGGCUACUAAUGUAAGCUUUAGGUCUAUACUACAAGCUAUAAAACGAUCAAGAGAUCAAAGAGAGAACCGAAGGGUGAAAGAGUUAAUCUCCCAUGCAUAGAGGA